UUCUUUGGUUUCCUCUUCAAAGUUUAGAUUCUACUCCGUUUUGUCAGCCUCCUUUAUGUUCAUCGUCAGCGUUCAGAUUUGUCACUGGGUAGCUUCUUGGCAUUCUAUUUCUUGUUUUCAUCUUCUGGUUCAGAUUCCCUUUUAGAUUUCAUUUUAUUUGUGGGUUACUUUUUAUUUCAAGGUUCAGAUCUCCCUUCUAGUUUUGUUGAAAAUAUUUCUACUGGUACUAAGUGACUGCCUUUUAGUACUACCUUGACUAGUGACAUUGCACAGGAUUAGUACUUCAUUUGGUUGAUUGGAUUCUCUGCAAGUCAUUCUGGGAGAUGGAAAAUGAGGGUUGGAUUAUAAUAAUUUGACAUACAGCAGCUCCUUUGAUAGAGUUAGAUAGAGGUCUAGUGGCAACCCAAACACAAGUUGUAGAACUAUUCAAGUAAGGUGCAUUCUCAUGGUAUAGGAGUUCAUACCACGCAAAUGGUCUUACCAUUGGAAAUUGCAGAGGACCCUGUUUACAUUAAUGCCAAGCAGUACCAUGGAAUUCUGAGGCAUAGGCAAUUACGUGCCAAAGCAGAGCUGGAAAAGAAGCUAAUUAAAGGAAGGAAGGUAUUCUGGCAAUGUAUAGCCGAUAUGGUUUCCUUUUGUUAUGUUUGCCCCGACUAAAUGUAGAAUACGACUUGGUCAAACAUUUUCUCAAUGUCGACAUAAAAAAGGAUGCUAUGAGAACAAACACUUAUAUAGUUAAAAGCCACAUCCAAUAUGCCCUGGGCUGGGAGGGUGACGAUGGCAGUAAGUUGUGCUUGUUGCCAAUUUCUGUUUUGCAUUACUUAUUAUGCCUUUUUCUUCAUACUUGAGGCUUCGUGUAGGACUAUCAGAAUGAGCAAAGUGAUAUGAGUGGCUCAUUUUGCAUUACUUAUUAUGCCUUUUUCUUCAUACUUGAGGUUUUAACCUUAAUGUUCUUAAAUUUAUGACAUUUUAUUGUAUGGGAUUAUUUUUAAAUUCCAAAUUGUUUCUUAUAAAAAAAAUUGAACUAUUUGCAGUUUAAAAACUUUACUUAUUAUCAUGAAA